rnacentral:misc_RNA from 1 species
CAACUUAGCUCAACUGAUGAAGGUUUACGAGACGCAGCACAAAUUUCUUCCAUCACUAGCCAACUAGGGGACUUCUGUAACAGACUUGGAGAGAUUAUUGAUGAAAGUCAACAACCAAUCACUCAGUUUACUGGUUUGCACAACCGCUUUUCUAUUACACUGGGAGAUUUCUGGAAACAGCUUCAUCUGAUUGGGAAGUAUAACUGGGACUUCGAUCAUUACUUGGAAGAAGAUGUGCCUAUAGCGAUGGACUACAUAAGGAACCAAAGCAGACCAAAGGAUGGGAAAUUGCUUGCUAUUGGACAUUCCAUGGGAGGUAUCUUGCUGUAUGCAAUGCUCUCACAAGAUGGUUACAGAGGAAAG